rnacentral:misc_RNA from 1 species
GGUGGGAUUGAUUCAAUUGUUGGUUCUUGUGAGUUGGAAAUAUGACUAGAUCUGUAGUGGUGAGUUCUGAGAUGGUCAAGAUUGUUGAGCUAGAGGAGAAAAUGAGAGAUCUCCAAGAGGAGACUCGAGGAAUGAAGGAGGAGGCAAAGAAAACUUCUCUGGAACUUAAUUCUUUCAGGGAGGAAUUUCGGGCUUUCAUGAGCAUUAUGAUGGAGGAUAAAAACAAAGAAAAAGGAAAGGAAAUUUGUAGCAGUGAUGAGGACAGACCUGGAGUGCAUGAAAACAGGGGGCUGUUGGACAGAUCUGGAGUGCAUGAAAAUAGGGGGCUGUUACCCAUUCCUUCUCAAGGUAAUUCUAGAAACUCUAAUAAUUCUUUUAGUUGUGAGGGAUCAAACCCUUAUCUGCCUAAGAUUGAAUUGAUGACUUUUGAUGGAAAUGAUCCUAGGGUUUGGAUUAGGAAAUGUGUUAAAUAUUUUGAUGCGUAUGAGGUGCCAAAGGAUAAAAGGAUUGGGAUUGCUAGUCUGUUUUUAACUGAUAAGGCAGAUGCAUGGUUUCAUAAUUGGAAUAGGGAAAAGAGUCAUUCUUGGGAGGAAUUUGAGCAGAGUAUUUAUGAGAGGUUUGGGGAUCAAGGGUUACAAGAUAUUGUUGAGGAAUUUAUGAAGUUAAGGCAGGAGAGGACUGUGGAUGAAUAUCAAGAUACUUUUGAGGAUCUAAGGAUUAGAAUGGAGAGGGUUACGCCUUAUUUGGGGGAAAAUUAUUUCUCCCAAUUCAUUGGUGGAUUAAGAGAUUAUGUGAAGCCUAUGAUGAGGAUAAUGAAACCCUCAACCCUUGCAAAUGCAAUUGAGGUAGCAAGAUUCCAAGAGUAGUUGUUGGGGUAUGCCAAGAAACCUGUAUACAACCCUAAACCUUACCCAAAUCAGUAUAAGCCUACCUACUCCUAUGCCUCUAACCCUACAACUUACAAUUCCAAAUCCUCAUCUCAACAAUUUCCCUAUAACCCAAAACCACCUAACCAAGAGUCUAAUUCCAAUCCAAAAAUUGCAAAUUCAGUCACCAAAAAUAACCAAUCAGCUAAAAGUCAAUCUUCAGUGAAUCAAAACCAAGUCAAGACUA